ensembl:snRNA U1 U1 spliceosomal RNA
AUAUUUACAUGGACAGGGGAGUUACCGUGAUCAGGAAAGUGGUUUUCCCAGGGCGAGGCUCAUCCAUUGCACUCUGAAUGUGUUGACCUCUGUGAUUUCCCCAAACGUAAGAAACUUGACCAAGUGAUUUGUGGUAGCAGGAGACUGCAAUCACACUUCCCCCUG